rnacentral:lncRNA from 1 species
AUGAAAGUAUAUAUAUAUAUAUAUAUAUAUCCCACCAAACCACAUGAGAUACCGGCUCAGACGUCGCCCGGUCUAACAAGGUCUGCGUCAGGUGUUGGGGAACCAGAGCACCUUGGCGAGAAGUGGGCUACUGGAACAAGAAAGAAAUGGCUGAGAUGCGAGAACAGAGAACUGUUGGAAUGCUACUACUCAAGUAACCCUAGUCAGAGGGGUUACAUGCAAAGAAUGUGCGGUGAAUGGGAACGGAGAAACCCACAUUCAAGGCUGACGGCAAAGCAACUAGUAGCUCAGUGUUCCAACAUCCACAAACGGCAACUGCUAUCACAACUUGAGAUUGACGAGAUACAACACAAAUGCUACGGCAAGGGGGAGCCAGGACGCCAGGUCAGAGGGGAGGUUUCACCAUCUCCCCAACCGGAAAUUGGGUACGAAGCCCCAAUAAGCACAGAUACGCUGAGCGAGGCAGCAACUGACCUGAAAGAUAAGAUCAUGGCGAGAUUGAACAGGCAACCCCGAACCCCACUACAACGGCUAAGUGAAGUACCAUCAGAAAAUCUCAUGGAAGAUUUGAAUGCAGCAUUGAGAGCGAUCCCUACCACAACAAUCACGGAAACUAAUGAGCUGGUAUACGCUUCAGCAUCAGUGAUCCUAGAGGUGCUUGGCUAUAAGAGCAACCAUGGGAGCCAUGAGAAACAAUACCCACCAUGGAAACGAAGGUUGGAGGCAAAAAUCAAGGCAGCUCGGAGGGAAGUGAGCCAAAUGACAGAGGCCCAGAGAGGUGCAAUGAAAAGACCAAUGCCUAAGAGGUACAGCCAGAUGACCAUACCUGAAGCACUCGAAACUGCCAAGCAAAGGCUACAAGCCUUGGCCAGCCGCCUAAAGAGAUACACCAGAGAUAACGAAGCCAGACGAAUAAACCGGCUGUUCGCAACACAACCUGCGAAAGUGUACUCUCAAUGGCAGGGUAAUAACAACAGAGCAGACCCACCAAGGCGGGAAACUGAACAGUACUGGAAAGGCAUAUGGGAAAGGGAGGCAUCACACAACAGUGAUGCACAGUGGCUGGUGGAUCUGAGGGAAGACCACAGCAACCUCCCUGAACAGAAUCCAGUGACUAUCACAGUGGCAGACAUCCAACAUAGAGUCUCAGGUAUGAAAAACUGGACAGCACCUGGCCCUGACAUGAUCCACGCCUACUGGCUAAAGAAGCUCACUGCAACCCAUGAGCGCCUGGCAGCACAAAUGAACCAGCUGCUAAGGGAUGGGACUCACCGAGCUUGGAAAGUGGAUGAGACCACCCGCGGAGGGUGA